AGGCUUCUCAUCCCCCUUCCCCGCCCCCUGCCCUGCUGCCCAGCACCUCCAAGCUGCACAGCUCCAGGGGACUUUGGAGUCAGGAUGGUGCAGGUCACUUCCUCGCUGCCACGCGUCCCUUGCUGCCCAGUCUUUCCCUGGAACAUGAGGAUCCACGUCUGCCAAACCCAAGUCUUUGAUGAAUGAUGUGGACUACAGCUCACACCAGGAUGGUUCCAUGACCAGAGUCCUUUCAUUGCUCACCAGGCCCCUCCUCCCAUGCACAGGCUGCACCAUAGCCCCCCCCCCGCCACCCCCUCCCGCCACGGCCUGUGGCGCACUGUGUUCACUCUUACUGAGAGGCUCUUCCCUGACCAUCAUCAGCUACUCAUCCUGCACAACUCAGGUUUCAUCUGUAGGACAUUUCCAUGAUGCAAGUCCUCCAGGUGGGCGGGUGGCUUCCUCUCGCUUCCUCAGAGCUGGCACUCCUUUCUGACCUAUUGUACCCAUCAUCCCAGCUCCCUGGGAGGUGGGGACCAGUAGGACAGUAGUUUGAGGGGGAAAGUUAGCAAGACUCCAUCUUAACCAGAAGUCUACACACUUGUGGUAGAACAGGCUUG